UUACUUAAAUACGAUCUCACAACAAACACUUCAUUGCACAAGUCACCACAGCCUCAAACUAUGAAAAGAGCUUACAUACUGUUGUGUUUACUGGUUUUUAUUGAUUUUGUCAAAAUGGAGCGAUACAAGCAAAUGAAGGAAAGACCGACGAAAUCAUUAUUGGAAAAUACGUACAAAGAGAAUGUAAAUCGUGUAAGUUGUGGAAAAAUUCAUGGAGUGCCACAAUGGUGUCCGGAUGGUACAAAAUGUUGUCCAGUUCAUAGUUUUGAGAUCGAGUUUGAAAAUUACCGUUGUUGUCCUUGGUUGAAUGGAAUUUGUUGUUUUAACGGGAAUUGUUGUCGUUCAGGUUCUGGGUGUUUAAGGUUUGGCAAAUCGUGUUCUGCCCGAUGGAAUUCAACACAUGUAUGAAUAAAAUAAUGUAUAAUCUUUUCCAUGAUUACGAAUUUCUUUAUCUUGUCUGGUUGGAAUGGAUAUUUUUUCAUUUAUUUAGAUUUUCAUAUACAACACAAAAAUUUAGGCAAUAUAUAUCUUGAAAUAUGUUGGUUUUAUGCAAUUUAUUGAGUAAUUAAUAUAGCUCUUUAAAUUGUAUCUUUCGCAUUGAUUUUUACUUUUCUUUAUGACACUGAGCUGUAUAUAUACUUGGAGUGCGCGUAUUUGAAUUUGUGGCAAGAAAUAUACUUCUUAUUUUGUCGUCUGACGUUAAAA